AUGCGUUGUUGGGUAGGGGAGCGUUCUGUAAGCCUGUGAAGGUGUGCUGUGAGGCAUGCUGGAGGUAUCAGAAGUGCGAAUGCUGACAUAAGUAACGAUAAAGCGGGUGAAAAGCCCGCUCGCCGGAAGACCAAGGGUUCCUGUCCAACGUUAAUCGGGGCAGGGUGAGUCGACCCCUAAGGCGAGGCCGAAAGGCGUAGUCGAUGGGAAACAGGUUAAUAUUCCUGUACUUGGUGUUACUGCGAAGGGGGGACGGAGAAGGCUAUGUUGGCCGGGCGACGGUUGUCCCGGUUUAAGCGUGUAGGCUGGUUUUCCAGGCAAAUCCGGAAAAUCAAGGCUGAGGCGUGAUGACGAGGCACUACGGUGCUGAAGCAACAAAUGCCCUGCUUCCAGGAAAAGCCUCUAAGCAUCAGGUAACAUCAAAUCGUACCCCAAACCGACACAGGUGGUCAGGUAGAGAAUACCAAGGCGCUUGAGAGAACUCGGGUGAAGGAACUAGGCAAAAUGGUGCCGUAACUUCGGGAGAAGGCACGCUGAUAUGUAGGUGAGGUCCCUCGCGGAUGGAGCUGAAAUCAGUCGAAGAUACCAGCUGGCUGCAACUGUUUAUUAAAAACACAGCACUGUGCAAACACGAAAGUGGACGUAUACGGUGUGACGCCUGCCCGGUGCCGGAA
rnacentral:rRNA from 1 species